rnacentral:rRNA from 1 species
CCUACGGGUCGCACCAGUGGGGAAUAUUGCGCAAUGGGCGGAAGCCUGACGCAGCGACGCCGCGUGGGGGAUGACGGCCUUCGGGUUGUAAACCUCUUUCAGCAGGGACGAAGCGGAAGUGACGGUACCUGCAGAAGAAGCACCGGCCAACUACGUGCCAGCAGCCGCGGUAAUACGUAGGGUGCAAGCGUUGUCCGGAAUUAUUGGGCGUAAAGAGCUCGUAGGCGGUCUGUCGCGUCGGCUGUGAAAACCCGGAGCUCAACUCCGGGCCUGCAGUCGAUACGGGCAAACUGGUGUGUUGCAGGGGAGACUGGAAUUCCUGGUGUAGCGGUGAAAUGCGCAGAUAUCAGGAGGAACACCGGUGGCGAAGGCGGGUCUCUGGGCAACAACUGACGCUGAGGAGCGAAAGCGUGGGGAGCGAACAGGAUUAGAUACCCGCGUAGUC